AGCUCCAAUAGCGUAUAUUAAAGUUGUUGCGGUUAAAAAGCUCGUAGUUGGAUUUCUGCCGAGGACGACCGGUCCGCCCUCUGGGUGAGCAUCUGGAUCGGCCUGGGCAUCCUCUUGGGGAACGUAGCUGCACUUGACUGUGUGGUGCGGUAUCCAGGACUUUUACUUUGAGGAAAUUAGAGUGUUUCAAGCAGGCUUCCGCCUUGAAUACAUUAGCAUGGAAUAAUAAGAUAGGACCUCGGUUCUAUUUUGUUGGUUUCUAGAGCUGAGGUAAUGAUUAAUAGGGAUAGUUGGGGGCAUUCGUAUUUAACUGUCAGAGGUGGAAUUCUUGGAUUGCCUUACGACGAACUACUGCGAAAGCAUUUGCCAAGGAUGUUUUCA
rnacentral:rRNA from 1 species